AACGAACGCUGGCGGCAUGCCUAACACAUGCAAGUCGAACGAAGGCUUCGGCCUUAGUGGCGCACGGGUGCGUAACGCGUGGGAAUCUGCCCUUGGGUUCGGAAUAACUCAGAGAAAUUUGAGCUAAUACCGGAUGAUGACGUAAGUCCAAAGAUUUAUCGCCCAAGGAUGAGCCCGCGUAAGAUUAGCUAGUUGGUGGGGUAAAGGCCCACCAAGGCGACGAUCUGUAGCGGGUCUGAGAGGAUGAUCCGCCACACUGGGACGGAGACACGGCCCAGACUCCUACGGGAGGCAGCAGUGGGGAAUUUUGGACAAUGGGCGCAAGCCUGAUCCAGCCAUGCCGCGUGCGGGACGAAGGCCUUC
rnacentral:rRNA from 1 species